GACGAACGCUGGCGGCGUGCUUAACACAUGCAAGUCGAACGGAAAGGCCCUGCUUUUGUGGGGUGCUCGAGUGGCGAACGGGUGAGUAACACGUGAGUAACCUGCCCUUGACUUUGGGAUAACUUCAGGAAACUGGGGCUAAUACCGGAUAGGAGCUCCUGCUGCAUGGUGGGGGUUGGAAAGUUUCGGCGGUUGGGGAUGGACUCGCGGCUUAUCAGCUUGUUGGUGGGGUAGUGGCUUACCAAGGCUUUGACGGGUAGCCGGCCUGAGAGGGUGACCGGCAAGAUUGGGACUGAGAUACGGCCCAGACUCCUACGGGAGGCAGCAGUGGGGAAUAUUGCACAAUGGGCGGAAGCCUGAUGCAGCAACGCCGCGUGCGGGAUGACGGCCUUCGGGUUGUAAACCGCUUUCGCCUGUGACGAAGCGUGAGUGACGGUAAUGGGUAAAGAAGCACCGGCUAACUACGUG
rnacentral:rRNA from 1 species